rnacentral:rRNA from 1 species
CGUACAAGCAGUGGGAGCACGCUUCGGCGUGUGACUGCGUACCUUUUGUAUAAUGGGUCAGCGACUUAUAUUCUGUAGCAAGGUUAACCGAAUAGGGGAGCCGAAGGGAAACCGAGUCUUAACUGGGCGUUAAGUUGCAGGGUAUAGACCCGAAACCCGGUGAUCUAGCCAUGGGCAGGUUGAAGGUUGGGUAACACUAACUGGAGGACCGAACCGACUAAUGUUGAAAAAUUAGCGGAUGACUUGUGGCUGGGGGUGAAAGGCCAAUCAAACCGGGAGAUAGCUGGUUCUCCCCGAAAGCUAUUUAGGUAGCGCCUCGUGAAUUCAUCUCCGGGGGUAGAGCACUGUUUCGGCAAGGGGGUCAUCCCGACUUACCAACCCGAUGCAAACUGCGAAUACCGGAGAAUGUUAUCACGGGAGACACACGGCGGGUGCUAACGUCCGUCGUGAAGAGGGAAACAACCCAGACCGCCAGCUAAGGUCCCAAAGUCAUGGUUAAGUGGGAAACGAUGUGGGAAGGCCCAGACAGCCAGGAUGUUGGCUUAGAAGCAGCCAUCAUUUAAAGAAAGCGUAAUAGCUCACUGGUCGAGUCGGCCUGCGCGGAAGAUGUAACGGGGCUAAACCAUGCACCGAAGCUGCGGCAGCGACACUAUGUGUUGUUGGGUAGGGGAGCGUUCUGUAAGCCUGUGAAGGUGUACUGUGAGGUAUGCUGGAGG